GGUGCGUUAGCGAAGUUGGUUAUCGUGCCUCCCUGUCACGGAGGAGAUCACGGGUUCGAGUCCCGUACGCACCGCCA
rnacentral:tRNA from 2 species